GAACGCUGGCGGCGUGCUUAACACAUGCAAGUCGAACGGAGUUACAUGAAACCUAGUGAUUGUAAACUUAGUGGCGGACGGGUGGGUAACGCGUGGGUAACCUGCCUUAUCCAGGGGGAUAACAGUGAGAAAUUACUGCUAAUACCGCAUAAGCGCACAGAAUCGCAUGAUACAGUGUGAAAAGAUUUAUCGGGAUAAGAUGGACCCGCGUCUGAUUAGCUAGUUGGUGAGGUAACGGCCCACCAAGGCGACGAUCAGUAGCCGGCCUGAGGGGGUGAACGGCCACAUUGGGACUGAGACACGGCCCAAACUCCUACGGGAGGCAGCAGUGGGGAAUAUUGCACAAUGGGGGAAACCCUGAUGCAGCGACGCCGCGUGAGUGAUGAAGUAUUUCGGUAUGUAAAGCUCUAUCAGCAGGGAAGAAAAUGACGGUACCUGACUAAGAAGCCCCGGCUAACUACGUGCCAGCCGCCGC
rnacentral:rRNA from 1 species